CUAGUGCUGCCGCCUCUCGUGACACGUUCGCUGUACUAUUCUCAGGAAAAAGGCUCAUUGAAUUUAUGAAAACGUGUGUGCGCAAUGCACAGAAGGCUCAAAGGUUGUCAUUUCAGACGUUGACACAAGGCUUCAACCAUUUUGUUCAUAGGCGUCGUCGGCUUGAUAGUUAUUCGUGAAAAAAUGAGGUGUUUUGUACUUUGGUGUAGGAAUUCUUCGUUGAAUCACCCAAAAGGUGUUACAUUCCAUAAGAUUCCUGAAGAUAGAUACAGUGAAUGGUUAGAAGUCAUCAAAAAACCAUCCCACCCUUCCACAUUCUUCAAGGAGAAUAUGUUCUGAACACUUUACUCCCGAUAGUUUUAUACCUCUACGUGGAAGGCUCAGAACAUUGAAACCACAUGUAAUACUAACCACAUGUAAUACUGAAACCACAGUCACAGUUGUUAAUGAGAUGGCACUCCAGCAUUACCAGAUCUCGAAAUGGUUCUAAUAACAACCCUACGCCAUAUCAGUUUAAUAAUACUUUCAAGAGAUUAAUGUUAUACCAUGACAUUAACAAGAUGGAGGAAAUUGUUUGAGUCUAGACACCACUUCAAUUUUAACACUCUAAAGUAUAUCUAAACCAAAAUGGAGAGAGGUGUCUAUUGAUGAGCUAGGUUCCAUAAAGAAGUAUGAAGAAGUAAUAGAUGAUCACGAUUAUGGCCAAGAAUUUGCAUCCUUGGUUUACGUAGCUGGUUUUGUAAGCAAAAAAAAUCAAAACUGUCAUUAAAUGUGCAGAAUGUUUAUUAGCAGUAGAAGUUGUUGUGAAUACUACAAAUGAUGAUUGUAUAUAUUUUACACAGUUAUUGAUAAGUAGGAAAAACAGGGGUGGAUUGAUCAAACCAUCCGAUGAUGUUGUUUCAGUUAUACGUUUUGUAGAAUUACAGAUCAAAAUAUUUG